CAAGGAAUAGUUUAUGUAAAACAGAUACUUUGGGGGUAUGAGAAUCAAUCCUUGG
rnacentral:tRNA from 1 species